CCAGAGAACUUAGCAGAGAUGCUUUGGUGCCUUCGGGAACUCUGAGACAGGUGCUGCAUGGCUGUCGUCAGCUCGUGUUGUGAAAUGUUGGGUUAAGUCCCGCAACGAGCGCAACCCUUAUCCUUUGUUGCCAGCGGUCCGGCCGGGAACUCAAAGGAGACUGCCAGUGAUAAACUGGAGGAAGGUGGGGAUGACGUCAAGUCAUCAUGGCCCUUACGAGUAGGGCUACACACGUGCUACAAUGGCGCAUACAAAGAGAAGCGACCUCGCGAGAGCAAGCGGACCUCAUAAAGUGCGUCGUAGUCCGGAUUGGAGUCUGCAACUCGACUCCAUGAAGUCGGAAUCGCUAGUAAUCGUAGAUCAGAAUGCUACGGUCGAAUACGUUCCCGGGCCUUGUACACACCGCCCGUCACACCAUGGGAGUGGGUUGCAAAAGAAGUAGGUAGCUUAACCUUCGGGAGGGCGUUUACCACUUUGUGAUUCAUGACUGGGGUGAAGUCGUAACAAGGUAAGCGUAGCGAG
rnacentral:rRNA from 1 species